GAUGAACGCUGGCGGCGUGCCUAAUACAUGCAAGUCGAGCGAACAGAUGAGGAGCUUGCUCUUCUGACGUUAGCGGCGGACGGGUGAGUAACACGUGGAUAACCUACCUAUAAGACUGGGAUAACUUCGGGAAACCGGAGCUAAUACCGGAUAAUAUAUUGAACCGCAUGGUUCAAUAGUGAAAGACGGUUUUGCUGUCACUUAUAGAUGGAUCCGCGCUGCAUUAGCUAGUUGGUAAGGUAACGGCUUACCAAGGCAACGAUGCGUAGCCGACCUGAGAGGGUGAUCGGCCACACUGGAACUGAGACACGGUCCAGACUCCUACGGGAGGCAGCAGUAGGGAAUCUUCCGCAAUGGGCGAAAGCCUGACGGAGCAACGCCGCGUGAGUGAUGAAGGUCUUCGGAUCGUAAAACUCUGUUAUUAGGGAAGAACAAAUGUGUAAGUAACUGUGCACGUCUUGACGGUACCUAAUCAGAAAGCCACGGCUAACUACGUG
rnacentral:rRNA from 1 species